UACAGAGGUCUCAAGCGUUGUUCGGAUUCAUUGGGCGUAAAGGGUGCGUAGGCGGCGCGGUAAGUCGGGUGUGAAAUCUUGGAGCUUAACUCCGAAACUGCAUUCGAUACUGCCGUGCUUGAGGACUGGAGAGGAGACUGGAAUUUACGGUGUAGCGGUGAAAUGCGUAGAUAUCAGGAGGAACACCAAUUGCGAAGGCAGCUCGCUGGGACGUAACUGACGCUGAGACGCGAAAGCGUGGGGGAGCAAACAGG
rnacentral:rRNA from 1 species